GAUGAACGCUGGCGGCGUGCCUAAUACAUGCAAGUCGAGCGGACCAAAGAGAGCUUGCUCUCUGAGGUUAGCGGCGGACGGGUGAGUAACACGUGGGUAACCUACCUGUAAGACGGGGAUAACUUCGGGAAACCGAAGCUAAUACCGGAUGAUAAAGAGAAACGCCUGUUUCUUUUUUGAAAGUCGGCCUUGUGCUGACGCUUACAGAUGGGCCCGCGGCGCAUUAGCUAGUUGGUGAGGUAACGGCUCACCAGGGCGACGAUGCGUAGCCGACCUGAGAGGGUGAUCGGCCACACUGGGACUGAGACACGGCCCAGACUCCUACGGGAGGCAGCAGUAGGGAAUCUUCGGCAAUGGACGAAAGUCUGACCGAGCAACGCCGCGUGAGCGAUGAAGGCCUUCGGGUCGUAAAGCUCUGUUGUCAGAGAAGAACAAGUACCGGAGUAACUGCCGGUACCUUGACGGUACCUGACCAGAAAGCCACGGCUAACUACGUGCCAGCAGCCGCGGUAACAC
rnacentral:rRNA from 1 species